AGAUGAACAAGGAUGAACAACUCUGAAGAGAAUUCUUGUCCAGGGUGAAAUGCAAAAAAUCUACAUACCUCAAGUAGAACUGAAAACAAAGAAUAUUGAACUAUUGCAAUAUGUUACCUGUUUCCAUCGUUGCCAUCAUGGUCUAGUGGUAAAGACUGAGGCCAUCAUGGUCUAGUGGUAAAGACUGAGGCCAUCAUGAGCGAAUGUUGUGGACCGUCUCCAGGUAAGACUCUCGUACCUUUUCGUAUCAUUUUUCUUUAUUUCUUUUUGCCAUUAUUUUUCCAAAAAUGUCUCUAAAUCGCUGCUCCUAACAGCUGAAUAUUCAUUUUUUGAUAUUUUUUUGUAUAUUAGGACAAUUUUGAGUCGAUUUAACCAAGGAUGACGAGAGAUGAACAAGGAUGAACAACUCUGAAGAGAAUUCUUGUCCAGGGUGAAAUGCAAAAAAUCUACAUACAUCAAGUAGAACUGAAAACAGAGAAUAUUGAACUAUUGCAAUAUGUUAGCUG